rnacentral:rRNA from 1 species
GACGAACGCUGGCGGCGUGCUUAACACAUGCAAGUCGAACGAAGUGGCGAACGGGUGAGUAAUAUAUAGCUAAUCUGCCCCUUGCUGGAGGACAACAGUUAGAAAUGACUGCUAAUACUCCAUAGCAAGGGAUGAGACUAUAUCGUAUCAGCUAGUAGGUGGGGUAACGGCCUACCGAGGCUAUGACGAGUAACUGGUCUGAGAGGAUGAUCCGUCACAGUGGAAGUGAGACACGGUCGAAAAUCCUACGGGAUGGAGCAGUAGGGGAUAGUGCGCAGUGGGGGAAACGCUGACGGAGCAACGCCGGGAGGGGUAUGACACUUUUGGGGGCGUAAACUCCUUUUGUUAGGGAAGCGGUACCUAACGAAUAAGCACCGGCUAACUCCGUGCCAGCAGCCGCGGUAAUAC